AGUCUACAACUGGCAGACGUGGGUUGAGAGUUCCUGUUUGAAACCCUUCCUCCCUGCAUCUUCUCUGUCUUCAGAGAGAACUGGACCUCCAGAGAGGGUCCUCAUCUCAGUCUUCCUGCGCAGGGAUCUAGGCAGUAUGGAUGGGACCGACCUCACAGAGGAGACUGCCUACCUCAGAUAGCAAUAGAGGAGAGUCGGUUUGGGCCCUGGAUGACAGAUCGUAACUGUCCUGAGUGGCUGGACAUCUUAGAGUGAACAGCAGACAGCACCGGCCUCAUGUGAGAGUCCUGCCUGGACAUUGAGGAUGGAUCCGAGAGAGAAGCGCAGAGCCCUGACGGAUCAGACACCACCACCCCUUAGCGGCGACGAAACCGAGCGGUAAACGCGCUGGAUCGUGAGAAGCACUUGUCUAGCUAGGCCAAGGAGAGAGGCGCAGGGAGAGCGAGGUGAUCCAGACCAGACAGGGAACCCUGCGGGGCGUGGCGGGGCCGGGGGUGAAGCUUGCAGAGGUAGUUGCCCGUGAAGAGCAGCUUGUGCGCUGUUGGAUCCUUGGAGUGGAGUGGGAACUCCGAGGUGAAGCGCACCGUGUUCAGGCCGAUGCCGGUGAGCGGCCGUUGGAACGCGUGGCAGAGAAAGCUUGCGCGAGCCCAGGGCGCGAAGAAGUACAACAAAGGGCCAACGGGGAGGUCCAACGGUCCCACCCCAGCCGGACUCGAGCUCAUUCGGUUGCAGGCGUUAGGCUCCCAGCGGCUCUCAGCCGUUAAGUGGAGAAUGUUUAGAACUGUGGAGGCGCACUCCGCACCUGGCCUGAAAGCGGGAGAUUUGGCAACCAGUGCGCGUGGGUGCGCCGGCCCUUGCCGCUGGGCACUCUGGAGGCAGACCUUGCCCAAAGCCAGAGGCGGGAACUCCCCAGAUCCUCCCAGGGUAGCAUGGGAGGAUGCCGCCUUCUCCAGGAAGCUCUCUAGCGCUUUUCCGAGUCCUGGAGCCAGGCGGGACUUCUCUGUGGUCGCCUAGAAGGGUAUGAACUUAGGGCAUCCCCAUCUGGGCUGUGAAGGUUUCUGACUUGGGGACCAGGUGCUCAGACCUUCCUGGAUGCUGCUUUCCACGAUAUCUCUACCAGGCAGGCAGGUUCUCUUCAUUUUGCAAAUUUGGUGAAACAGCAUUUGUAAAACUUUAGAAGCUUCCUUGGCUCACACAAGUGGUAGUGGCCCUGUCAGGAUUUGACCCAGGCUCUCGGAUUCCAGAGUUCCUGAAUUUAACCACCUGUACUGUGAUGCCUCCUUAUCAUGUGUGCAUCGUGCAUUACUAUUUUUUAUAGCCUGUAGGGUACUUAGCACCAUGCACACCUACAGUGAUCACAGGCACUGCCUACUGGAAGGUCUUCUUUGGCUGGGUUCCAGUUUCCUCAGACGAAGUAGGGCAGGGAGUUCCACUUGUUAGCAUAUCCCACAGGGCCUUUCUCUUCAAAUGGACCCCAGCAGCCAACCACACAGCUGCCUCAGCAAGCGUAGGAGAUGGCACAUCAGAGACCAACAAUUGUCAGCACAGCAAAACUGAGCAUUUCUUUUCUUACUGAGCUUUGCAGCUACCUACACAGUUGUGUGUGGCAUCUCCUCCUGGCGCAAGGACAUGAGAUGACAUCAGGGUCUUGCUGUGUCAUCCAGGCUGGAGUGCAGUGAUAUGAGCAUGGCUCACUGCAGCCUCGACCUCCCAGCUUCAAGCAAUGCUCCCACCUUGGACUCCCAAAGUGCUGGGAUUACAGGCAUGAGCCACCAUGCCUGGCCAUUGCCAUUGCAGUAAGUUUUGAAAUCACUUCAGCUGGUUCUCUUGAACCUUGAAUUAUCUUAGGAAAGAUUGUAUUUUCAGGAAUUAAGUCUAUUGGAGACACAGCAGGACUCCACAGCCAGCUAGAUUUGGAUAAAAUGUAGACCGCCUCAAGGCCAGUGUGUUGACUUCUGACCAGUCUCAUCUGAACCCACACCCUUUAACAUAUAUACAAAACACCCUGAAGGGUUGGGCUGCCAGCUUUCUUUAGGAUGAUAGAGGGCGGGUUAAGUUUGUUUGACAUAACUAGAAGAGGUGGAGCCUCUUCCUAAUGGAGCAAGGUCCGUUUAUGGCAAAUUGUGGUCCCCCACCACUAUCAGCUACUUCUGGAUAGCUUUUGCUUAAAGUCGAUGAGAUAUUGUUUCUUUCACUAGAAGAAAAUGAAUGAGUUGGUGAUCCCAAACUUUGGUCUCCAAAGGAAGCCUGGGCAGGUGACAAAGGUGUCCUAAGCGAGACUGCUGCUUCCAUGCUCAUGCUGGAGGUACAUUUGCCCUGAAAGAUGGAGCAAAAGUGCUGAAGCUUAGCACAGAGGAUUAAUGAAUAAGAACAAAGCUAUGUUAUAUCA